rnacentral:rRNA from 1 species
UACGUAGGUGGCAAGCGUUGUCCGGAUUUACUGGGCGUAAAGAGCGCGCAGGCGGUCGUUCAAGUCGCGUGUGAAAGCCCCCGGCUCAACUGGGGAGGGUCACGCGAUACUGAUCGACUCGAAGGCAGGAGAGGGAAGUGGAAUUCCCGGUGUAGUGGUGAAAUGCGUAGAUAUCGGGAGGAACACCAGUGGCGAAGGCGAACUUCCUGGCCUGUUCUUGACGCUGAGGCGCGAAAGCUAGGGGAGCAAACGGG